AGCCUGAAUGUAGUCUAAGGCCAGUCUAUUAUUCAUUAAAACCUAUACACAAAAGUUUAGACUGAUUAGCUGAUGUUAUACAGUUUGUGGCAUCUCAUUGGCUAUGGUUGCUAAAGCUAAUGAUUGGUACCUGAUCAUUGUCUCUGGGGCAUGGACACUGAUGCCAGGGCAUAGAACCAGGAGUAAAAGUACCCCCCAGCUAGGACAGCCCUCUUUAUUCAGUGUUCCAACAAGGGAUAAAAUGGGUAGCAUCUCUUCCAGGUGGUGUGGACCCAAAGAGUGAGCAGCAGCAAGAUUUAUUGUGAAGAACGAAGAAACAAAGCUAGGUCUUAUGAAUCUAUAAGAUCUACUAUCUGUGUGUCUAAUACAUCUAUGAAUUUAUGUGUCAAGUAUAUAACGUUUCACUAU
rnacentral:lncRNA from 1 species